GGCGGCUUAGCUCAGCAGGUAGAGCAAACGGCUCAUAUCCGUUAGGUCGUAGGUUCAAGCCCCACAGCCGCUACUA
rnacentral:tRNA from 1 species